GAUGAACGCUGGCGGCGUGCCUAAUACAUGCAAGUCGAGCGAACGGACGAGAAGCUUGCUUCUCUGAUGUUAGCGGCGGACGGGUGAGUAACACGUGGAUAACCUACCUAUAAGACUGGGAUAACUUCGGGAAACCGGAGCUAAUACCGGAUAAUAUUUUGAACCGCAUGGUUCAAAAGUGAAAGACGGUCUUGCUGUCACUUAUAGAUGGAUCCGCGCUGCAUUAGCUAGUUGGUAAGGUAACGGCUUACCAAGGCAACGAUGCAUAGCCGACCUGAGAGGGUGAUCGGCCACACUGGAACUGAGACACGGUCCAGACUCCUACGGGAGGCAGCAGGAGGGAAUCUUCCGCAAUGGGCGAAAGCCUGACGGAGCAACGCCGCGUGAGUGAUGAAGGUCUGCGGAUCGUAAAACUCUGUUAUUAGGGAAGAACAUAUGUGUAAGUAACUGUGCACAUCUGGACGGUACCUAAUCAGAAAGCCACGGCUAACUACGU
rnacentral:rRNA from 1 species